rnacentral:rRNA from 1 species
CACGUAGGGUGCGAGCGUUGUCCGGAAUUAUUGGGCGUAAAGAGCGUGUAGGCGGUCCGGUAAGUCAGCUGUGAAAGUCAAGGGCUCAACCCUUGAAAGCCGGUUGAUACUGUCGGGCUAGAGUCCGGAAGAGGCGAGUGGAAUUCCCGGUGUAGCGGUGAAAUGCGCAGAUAUCGGGAGGAACACCAAUGGCGAAGGCAGCUCGCUGGGACGGUACUGACGCUGAGACGCGAAAGCGUGGGGAGCAAACAGG